AACGAACGCUGGCGGCAGGCCUAACACAUGCAAGUCGAGCGAGGACUUCGGUUCUAGCGGCGGACGGGUGAGUAACGCGUGGGAAUGUGCCCUUCUCUACGGAAUAGCCCUGGGAAACUGGGAGUAAUACCGUAUACGCCCUAUUGGGGAAAGAUUUAUCGGAGAAGGAUCAGCCCGCGUUGGAUUAGGUAGUUGGUGGGGUAAUGGCCUACCAAGCCGACGAUCCAUAGCUGGUUUGAGAGGAUGAUCAGCCACACUGGGACUGAGACACGGCUCAGACUCCUACGGGAGGCAGCAGUGGGGAAUCUUAGACAAUGGGGGCAACCCUGAUCUAGCCAUGCCGCGUGAGUGAUGAAGGCCUUAGGGUUGUAAAGCUCUUUCAGCUGGGAAGAUAAUGACGGUACCAGCAGAAGAAGCCCCGGCUAACUCCGUG
rnacentral:rRNA from 1 species